GAGAAAGAACAAAUAAGAACUGCUAAUUCUUACUCUCUAAGCCUAAAACCUCAGCUUUCUC
rnacentral:tRNA from 1 species